GCUCCAGUGGCGCAAUCGGUCAGCGCGCGGUACUUAUAAUGCCGAGGUUGUGAGUUCGAGCCUCCCCUGGAGCA
rnacentral:tRNA from 1 species